rnacentral:rRNA from 1 species
UGGUGGAGUGAUUUGUCUGGUUAAUUCCGUUAACGAACGAGACCUCGACCUGCUAAAUAGUUGGGCGAAUUCUUUAUGGAUUCGUACCACACUUCUUAGAGGGACUAUUGGUGUGUAGCCAGUGGAAGUUCGAGGCAAUAACA